GGCAGCAGCCGCGGUAAUACGGAGGGUGCGAGCGUNAAUNGGAAUUACUGGGCGUAAAGCGCGCGUAGGUGGCUUGAUAAGCCGGUUGUGAAAGCCCCGGGCUCAACCUGGGAACGGCAUCCGGAACUGUCAGGCUAGAGUGCAGGAGAGGAAGGUAGAAUUCCCGGUGUAGCGGUGAAAUGCGUAGAGAUCGGGAGGAAUACCAGUGGCGAAGGCGGCCUUCUGGACUGACACUGACACUGAGGUGCGAAAGCGUGGGUAGCAAACAGGAUUAGAUACCCUGGUAGUCCACGCCGUAAACGAUGUCGACUAGCCGUUGGGAGCCUCGAGUUCUUAGUGGCGCAGUUAACGCGAUAAGUCGACCGCCUGGGGAGUACGGCCGCAAGGUUAAAACUCAAAUGAAUUGACGGGGGCCCGCACAAGCGGUGGAGCAUGUGGUUUAAUUCGAUGCAACGCGAAGAACCUUACCUACCCUUGACAUCGUGCGAACUUGGUAGAGAUACCUUGGUGCCUUCGGGAACGCACAGACAGGUGCUGCAUGGCUGUCGUCAGCUCGUGUUGUGAAAUGUUGGGUUAAGUCCCGUAACGAGCGCAACCCUUGUCCCUAUUUGCCAGCGAUUCGGUCGGGAACUCUAGGGAGACUGCCGGUGACAAACCGGAGGAAGGUGGGGACGACGUCAAGUCAUCAUGGCCCUUACGGGUAGGGCUACACGCGUGCUACAAUGGUCGGUACAAAGGGUUGCAAAGCGGCGACGUGGAACUAAUCCCAUAAUGCUGAUCUCAGUCCGGAUCGGAGUCUGCAACUCGACUCCGUGAAGUCGGAAUCGCUAGUAAUCGUGAAUCAGAAUGUCACGGUGAAUACGUUCCCGGGCCUUGCACACACCGCCCG
rnacentral:rRNA from 1 species